AUGUACCACCUGCGUAGCUGUAUUUUGUCUGAUCGAUCGACGUUAGCAAGGCGGUAUUCGUGCAUUAUCCAAUUCGUUUUCACCCCUCGCGGAGCUUUCCCCGCGUAAAACACCAAUGCCUUCUUGAUUCCAACCGCUUUUGGUUUUCCGAUAGGUUUAUCGGCACCGGUAGCCUUCCAAUAACCAGUUCCGGCAGCUCUGUUCGGUCGUGAUCCGUUUGGAUAUUUCCUGUCUCUAGGUGAGAAGAAGUACCACUCCUUUUCUCCAUAUAACGCCAUAUCUGAAGCUGCCAUGGAUCGAACUUAUAAAGAUCAAUUUCAGCAAUAAUCGGAACAGCAAUACUCUGAGACGCACAUUUCCGGCACAAGUAAUGCAUAACCAGCUCAUCAUCCGUCGGAUGAAACCGGAACCCCGGCGGCAACUCCAAACCGCCACACGUCAUCAUAAAACCUCAAAUCAAACUCCAAAUCCGUACGGUUAAUCUCCAAAUCCAGAUCUCGUUCUUCCUCACAAACAAAGCUAGGGUUUCCGGCAGUGUUACAAAGAAGAAGAUCGAGAAGUAUAUAUAACAACAACAACAGAAAGAGUGAAGGUCGCACGUGUAGGAUUGGUUCGAGGAACGAGCAGGAGAGAGAAUGGUGCAGUUGCUUGGAGAAGAAGGCUG
rnacentral:lncRNA from 1 species